UACGGGGGUGCGAGCGUUGUCCGGAAUCACUGGGCGUAAAGGGCGCGUAGGUGGUCUGAUAAGGGUGUGGUGAAAGUCCGGGCUCAACCCCGGAUCUGCCGUGCCGACUGUCAGACUCGAGGACUGUAGAGGCAGGCGGAAUUCCGGGGUGUAGCGGUGGAAUGCGUAGAGAUCCGGAGGAAGACCGGUGGCGAAGGCGGCCUG
rnacentral:rRNA from 1 species